UUUAUUAUAAUAGGCUCGAAGCACUGUAAACAUUAAUAAUCGCAAGAAAGUGACCUUUUCUCACACUUCGGGAUCAAAGUCUUAUUGCCAACGUUUGUAUGAAAUGGAAACAUCUGAAGUCAUUGAUGAAGAGCCACCUGAAAUGAGGCUCUACAGUCAAGCACACCGUAAAAAAGACGGCUCAUGGAUUGACCCAGAAGCUGGAGAUAAAUACGAACAAAUGGAAGCUAUUCGCUCAAAAGCACUCGAGGAAGGCGUUGCAAUUGAUGGGAGGAAAAUUCUACAAAAGGUUUUGGAUAUACCGA